ACACACUGCAACUCAACAAGCGUCAACAGUCUUCGUGAAGGUGCUGCAGAGCGAUGGAGCUGAAGGUGUGGGUGGAGGGCGUGGUCAGGGUGGUGUGUGGCCUGUCACUGAACACUUCCUGUCAGGACGUCGUCAUCGCGCUGGCGCAAGCGAUUGGUCAGACGGGUCGGUAUGUCCUGAUCCUGAAGCUGCGAGGGAAGGAGAGGCAACUGCUGAAGACUGACUGUCCCCUGCAGGAGCUGGCUCAGCUGGGUCAACAGGCUGCUGAGGUCCACUUUGUCCUGCGAAGGACCGGCCCCAGCCUCAGUGAGGGGUCCACCACAGACACCAGAGCCCCCCUCACCCCCUUCAUCCGACACCCAGAACCCAAGCUUUUCAGCCACAGGGAGCCCCACAAGUCCUUUACCUUCAAUUUGGGCCCAUCCACGUUCCCCAGGAGGACUAAACCUGACAGGAAGUGGGCUCCGUCUCCUGAACAGAGGGCGUCCCCCGUCCCCUCUGUCAUUCAGCCGUCCAGAGAGGAGCUGAUCCUCCAGCUUCUGCGGCAUCAGAGGAGGCUGGAGCAUCUGGAGGAGCAGCUCUACACACUGGAGAGGGAGACCGAGGAGUGGGAGCAGAGGAGGAGGUGGUCUGCUGCAGGUCCUGGUUCUGAUGUCAGUCUGGAUCAGCAGAGGGAGCUGGAGCUGCUGGAGCAGACGCUGAGGCAGAACCAGGAUGAGCUGAGGCAGGAGGAGUACUGGGAGGAACAGCUGGAGCAGGAGACACUCAGAGGACAAGAUAUGUGCAGACGCCUGGAGCAGAUAAAGUGGUCGGUAGAUGAUCAGAGCUACCGUGUGGAGGAGCUACAGGCCCGUUCAGAACGUCUGCAGCAGGACGUCAGGCAGAGGAGUGAAGAAACUCUGCGACCGCUGGAGGGGGAGCUGCAGCAGCGUCUGCAACAGGGAGACAGGCUGAAUGCAACCGCUGUGGAGAUGCAGAUGGAGAUGCAGGCAGCAGACGGCAGGGUGAAGGACAGAUGGGAGGUGUUGGAGGAGCUGAAGAAGGAGUUAAGAUAGUGUAACCUGCAACAGUUCAUCCAACAGGCUGCCGUGUCGUCACCCUCUGACCUCAACGGCCUACUGUCGGUGUCGGAUGUUUAUCUGAGGAACGCCGGCAUCGUGGAAUGAGAAGGAUAAAAGAAACUGGAACCUGAAGGAUGGAUACAUCAUCUGUAUGUGUGCCUGAUUUAUUGAUGACUAAAAACAUCUACAGUCUUUGUAGCAUUAUUUACCAUUAUUUAACAUAUAUUUAUACAUGACAUGUUUAAGCUGUUACGUGACUGCAUAUGUCAAUUACCUAUGGACGCCUUAACUAUUUACUGUAAAA